UACAGAGGGUGCUAGCGUUAUUCGGAAUUACUGGGCGUAAAGCGCAUGUAGGCGGUUCGGUAAGUCUGAUGUGAAAGCCCCCGGCUCAAUCGGGGAAGUGCAUCGGAUACUGCUGGACUGGAGUGCAGGAGGGGAGAACGGAAUUCCUGGUGUAGAGGUGAAAUUCGUAGAUAUCAGGAGGAACAACGGUGGCGAAGGCGGUUCUCUGGACUGCAACUGACGCUGAGAUGCGAAAGCGUGGGGAGCAAACAGG
rnacentral:rRNA from 1 species